AUGGGUAUGCAGGCUCUGGUGAAGGUUCGGUGCAUGAACCUAGUAAACCCUGUAUGCGAUUGGCUCGAUGAAAUAUGUGAGCCUGCGUCUAGGGAAUUCAUGAUUCCGGGAUGUGGAAGAUUGUCUUUGAAUGAGGAAUCUGUGUUCUGCACUUUGGGUGUCCCCCGUGGAGAAAUCAAAGUCCCUUAUGAGGUGAACAAUAAGAUUGAGGAAGCUUUGUUCGCCCGUUUGUUUCCUGGAAUGGCAUCCAUGCCUAAUACGACUGUACUAGCAACUUCGUUGGAGGGGAUGACAAACCAUGGCGAGGUUUUUAAGAUGAAGUUGCUCAUGUACUUGAUCUCGACUGUAUUUGCGCCUACCACAUCUCUUCUCCCAAGCAACAAGUGCCCCUAUCCUAGCGAAGCUGAAAGAUGUUAA
rnacentral:rRNA from 1 species